AAAAGCAGAGAUAAAAACACAACGCGGGAUCAAAGCCUGCAGAGCCGGUAGGUAGUCCGGCCGCAUUCCCAUAGUCCUGCCUGAAACGGCGGGGUAACAGGAAUGUAAGUAACCCUCCCUCCUUGGGUCGUCCGUUCUUUGUUCAUCACAU
rfam:Lachnoclostridium sp. YL32, complete genome.